rnacentral:rRNA from 1 species
UACGGAGGGAGCUAGCGUUGUUCGGAAUUACUGGGCGUAAAGCGCGCGUAGGCGGCUUUGUAAGUUAGAGGUGAAAGCCCGGGGCUCAACCCCGGAAUUGCCUUUAAGACUGCAUCGCUUGAAUCCAGGAGAGGUGAGUAGGAAUUCCGAGUGUAGAGGUGAAAUUCGUAGAUAUUCGGAAGAACACCAGUGGCGAAGGCGGCUCACUGGACUGGUAUUGACGCUGAGGUGCGAAAGCGUGGGGAGCAAACAGG